rnacentral:rRNA from 1 species
GACGAACGCUGGCGGCGUGCUUAACACAUGCAAGUCGAACGAAGUGGCGAACGGGUGAGUAAUACGUGGGUAACCUGCCCUCCUUUUUGGGAUAAGCCUUGGAAACGGGGUCUAAUACCGAAUAAAGGGGGAUGGGCGCGCGGCCUAUCAGCUUGUUGGGGGGGGGAUGGCCUACCAAGGCGGUGACGGGUAGGCGGGCUGGGAGGGUGAACGGCCACAGUGAGACGGAGAUACGGCCCAGAGUCCUACGGGAGGGAGCAGUGGGGGAUAUUGCACCAUGGGCGAAAGCCUGAUGCAGCGUCGACGCGUGGGGGAUGAAGGCUUUCGGGUUGUAAACCUCGUUCGCUAUCUAUCGGGUAGGUGGAGAAGAAGCGCCGGCUAACUACGUGCCAGCAGCCGCGGUAAUUC